UUUAAUCCCCUCUUGCCUCUUACGCUUUGCCGUCGCCUUUACUUGUCACUGCUACAGCAACGUCUUUCUGCUAGUUUGACGUUUAUUGGAUAAGUGAAUUUGUUUCGUGUACCGAGUUCAAAUAAUUCUAAAAAUCAUAAGGAAAUACUCGAAAUUUCUAUUUAUUUCUUUAUCUGUAUGCCUUGCGUAAGCCCGCAUCAUUUUAAAUCUUCCAUGAAUGUUGACGUUGUCUUCCCACAGCUGUUUGUAAUGCAAAUAUCCUUCCUUGACCUGAAGCCUACAAGAUGGUUUUCAUCUUCAAGUUCUAAUUUUAGCUGAGAGUAAUGUAGAUAUAUAAACAAAAAUUACAUAUUCACAAAUGGCACAGAGAAUUCAUUAUUACAUCGUUUAUAAAUAAACUGAAACGAAAUUGGAUAAUUUAGUGGUAAUGCGGGGAUGUGGAUCUGUUUUGAUUUAAUAGGAAGCCGAGAAGGCUUGGGUGCUUCCAUUUCAUUCCUUAUACUUCUAUAUUCGAUUUCUAACAGUGUUGAUGCUAGUUUAACAAAUGCUGAUACAUUCAAUAUACCUCAUAAUACUGUCACAUCAGAUAUAUCAUCACCAACUGUUACGCAUCAUGAGAAUGACGAAUGUAGGAAUGUGACCACUGAUGAUAGAGCAAGUUCUGGACUGUCAGUGGUCAGCCAUGGAACUGGCCAUCCUCAUUCGCCAACAGUGCCUCCAACCUUUCUCCACGGAGUUCUUACCUGCCAACCAUAUCAAGGAAUUUAUGUGAACCAUGUCUAUUUUCAAUUAGCAAAUGUCUUCUUCCUAUUGUCACACCUUGCACCAAGUGGCAUACAUGGUGUCCUCUAUUUAAGGUGCACUCUGCUCGUGGGCUGUGCCUUUCUUGCUUUGUGGGGCUGGACAAUAGCUUGUUGGCUGGACGUCGUGCUCUGGAAUGCUCUCUUUGUUGUCAUCAACUUCGUCCAUGUAUGCACGCUUCUUUACAAGCUCAGGCCUAUCAAGUUUUCAAGGGAAGUUGAAGAGGUAUAUAUUGCCGUAUUCCAGCCAUUGAGAGUAUCACGCCAUCAAUUUAAAAAAGUCUUAAAUUGUAUGAAGAUCAUCAGACAAUUAAAAUAUCAAGAAGUUUACGCUCAAGAGAAAGUAACAAAAGUUGAUUCCUUAUCAUUGGUAUUAUCAGGAAAAUUAGUUGUAUCACAGAAUGGAAGAGCAUUGCAUAUUGUCUUCCCUCAUCAGUUCCUGGAUUCUCCAGAAUGGUUUGGUGUCUCUACAGAUGAAUAUUUCCAGGUAUCUAUAACAGCAAUGGAAGAAUCAAGGAUAUUAUUAUGGCACAGAGAUAAGUUAAAAUUAAGCAUUAUUAGUGAUCAAUUCCUGCAGGCAGUUUUUGAUCAUAUCCUUGGCAGAGAUGUAGUUAAAAAGUUGAUGCAGGUUAGUGAAACAAUGGCUGCUAGCAGUCAUCAACAACAAAAUGGACAAGUUAUUGGUCUUGGCAGCAUAGGGACGUUAGAAAAUGAUUCAGAUACUAAGCUAUUCGUCGUUAAAAAAACAGGUGAUAGUCAGGGGAUUACUGCUCUUAUCAGUCGUCAGCUUCAAGAAGAGAGAAUGCCGCUGCUGUACAUGAGCCAAGAAGUACUACACAAUGCCUUACAUCAUACCUCAAAUCAUCUGUGCGUGCCUUAUACAUGUCCUUUAAAUCCUGUGCAAUGCAACAUUCAGUCUUCCUUAUAAUGCUUUUGCAACAAAUUGUGCCUCUAUUUAGCACGUUUGUAUGCAUUGCAUAUAUUAUGUUUUUGAAAAAAGCAUACACAUCUCACAUCUUACAGAAUUUUACAGAAAAACUUCAUUUAUUCUUUUCUCCUGAAUAUUGUAUGCAGCAGCAGGUGAUCCAAAUGCUUGGAGAUUGGGAAGAAUCGAAGAGACUGAUCAUGAAACACCUGUUUAAUGAUUGUUAAAUUGAUGUCAUCCUCGACAGUCAAUAUGAUAUAAUAUUGGUCUUUUUAUGUAAUGCAGUUAUGAUGAGAUAAUAUUCAUCAUAAUCUUCAUAGCAUAAUGUGCUGUGCGUGGAACAAUUGAACAUUCUCUUGCCAAUCUUUAAUUUUUUUCUUAAUUAAUCAAAUUUAUUAAGGGAUAAUGAAAAAGUAAUUGUUUACAGCAUAAUAAUUCUACUAUAGUUUGUAAUAAGAUAUACAAAUAACAUUACUUUAUCCUUCCACUGUAUUAUAAGAUACUAUCAAAUUUUUGUUAUAUCAUAUUUUGUUGAUCAACAAUCAUAAUUUAUUUAAAUAUUUUUAUUUAAUUAUAUUACUUUCAAUAAGUAAUUAAUACGAUUUUAUAAAUAUAAUAGAAUGAGCGUUGUUCGAUCGCAACGGCGUAACUUCUAUAAUAUGAGAUAUUAAAUUACAGUCUAACUGAUAGAAGAUAGAAAGGCCUAUGAAGAGGAUUGCUUUCUAUACCCAAAAAUAGUGCCUUUUUACUUCCACUUUAAUUUUUAAUUUCGGAAUGAAAAGUAUAUACAGUACAAUUGUAUAAAAUCGUUAUAUAUUUAUUCAAUAUUUUUUAAAUAGAAAUUUUUCAAUAUUACUAUAUAUCAUGUAUGAGAAAAAUAAGGUCACAAUCUUGUUAAAGAAUACAUUCGUGAUUGGAGAGAUAAAUGAAGUUACGCCAUGAAUGCGUACGAAUAUUACGAAGUGCAACAUAGCAAAUGUUUAAACCUUUAUACUGACAUAUUACUGGUAGAGGCAUAUUACCAGUAACUUGUAAUGUUAAUAAUGUGAAGCUAUCAGAGAUAUUAUAAUAGUAUUAAAAUCAUGUUGAUCAAAUUUUCUGUAUCUAUUAUCAUUAUAAAAGACUUAUCCAUUUCA